GGAGGUAUGGUGUAAUGGUAACACUUUCGGUUCUGAUGGUUCUCCAUCUAGAUCCGGCCCUUCUGGGCCUGUUAACAGGUCUCCGAAUGCCCCUGGUUCGAUUCCGGGUAUCUCCU